rnacentral:rRNA from 1 species
CACGUAGGGCGCAAGCGUUGUCCGGAAUUAUUGGGCGUAAAGAGCUCGUAGGCGGUCUGUUGCGUCCGCUGUGAAAACUCGGGGCUUAACCCCGAGCCUGCAGUGGAUACGGGCAGACUAGAGGUAGGUAGGGGAGAAUGGAAUUCCCGGUGUAGCGGUGAAAUGCGCAGAUAUCGGGAGGAACACCGGUGGCGAAGGCGGCCCCCUGGUUGGAUACUGACGCUGAGACGCGAAAGCGUGGGGAGCAAACAGG